AGGGCUAGGGGCUGUAAUCAUCUGAAGGCUUCUUCAGUCCUGGAAUCCACCCGGGAGAGAGGGAGGGAGUAGUGGAUUUCCAUUCUCAGUAAGGAGGGAGGCAGUUGGAAGAGAGGAGGGGACGGUGGUUUCAAGACUUCCACCCUGGGGAAGAAGGGACGGGGAGACGGCGGGAAUCUAGGAAAUUGGGGGAUGGCUAUAUGACAGCUGGAAUUGCUUCACUUCUAAUCUCAUACACAUGAAUUGCCAGCUCUCUGCACUCCAGCACUUUUUAUUCCCUCACGUAUGCUCAGCACGACUCUAGCCCGGCGUGGAUCAAUGUUAAAAUCUCUAUCCCCUUUCUUCUUAUAACACUAGAAUCCUACAACAAAAAUGACUUGCCUGUGCAGGAUGUCACCACUUUCAUGGUCUUCAUCUUCGGCCGGGCCACCAAUGCCAUCUCUCAGUCUUUCUGCUUCUCCCUGAUGAACUUCACUCCCAUUGCCCACAACAGCCCUUCCAAACCUUCCGCACUCUCAAGACCCCUCUCUGCUUGACCCUUAUCUGCACCCCGUGUGUUAUGUAAAUGGCCCUGCCUCCUGCUCCUUGGAGAAAAAUUGAUCACAUCAGGCAUCAUCUUCUGUCACGUCCUGACUCCACUUCAUUUCCACUCUACUUCAAUCACUCCCUUGUGGGGACUUUGUUGUUCUUCCCAGUUCUUUGCUAUUAUAAAUAAUUUUGUGUUGAACAUCUUGUAUAUAUGACAUUCUCCCCUCAUGUUUGAUUAUUCAAUUAAAACAAACUUCUGAAGAAGGAUUGUUAGUUUCCAAUGUUGGCUACUGUCAGAUUGUCCUCCAGGAGGGGUGAAUUGAUUUCUUUUUCCACAGGCAGUCACUGACUGCAUUGUUUUGCAAUUAUGUUUGUGUGUGUGAGUGUGACCUCUCAGACUCUGAGACAAAGUAGCAUCACUGCGCAGAACUUGGAUUUUGGGGUCAAAGUGACCUGGCUUUGCAGCCCAGGUCCUUAAAUUAUUGCUUAUAUGGCUUUAGACAAGUGACUUAACCUCCAUCAGCAAAUAGACAAUAAUAAUGGUAGCUACGUCUUAAGGUGGGUCCAUUCACUCAAUAUGCAUUUACUGAACACCUUCUAAAUGCCAGGCAACAUUUUAGGCAGUGGAGACAGAAUGAAACAAAGUCUGUGGUCUCGUAGUUCUUACCAUCUAGUUGGGGGAGAUAUGGACAAAUAUAUUUAAUGUAUCAGUGCUAAGAGGCUUAUAUAAUAUGAUAAAGUGCAAAGCAGAAAAAGCAGAGUCUGGAGGAGAGAGUCUGACAGCAUGGGCAUGCUGGGGGUGGUGUGUGUGCUGUGUCAUAUAGUGUGGUCAGGGAAACUCUGAGGAGGGGGUAUUUCAUCCAAGAGCUGAAAGAGGCGAGGGAAUGAGUCAUGUGGUUAAUGGGAAGAAUGUUCCAUGGAAAGGAGCAGCAAGUGACAACGUCCUGAGGUAGGAGUGUGCCUAGUGUGUUUGGGAACAGCAUGGAAACCUGUGUGUCCUCUGCCUCUUUGUAAAACUUCCUUAUUGCUCUUCUCCCAACUCCCCGCACCCACUCCACCCAUCCUCAGGGAACCACUGAUCUGAUUCGUUUCCUAGAGUUUUGUAUAAAUGGAAUAAUCAGUAUGAACCUUUUAUUGUUUGGCCGUUUUCAGACAGUGUAAUUAUUGUGAUAUUCUUCAAUACUGUUGCAUAAAUUAGUAGAGCAUUUCCUUUUAUUGCUGAGUAGUAUUCAUGGAUAUAUCACAGUUUGUUUAUCCCAUCACCUGUUGAUGUUCCCACUUUUUGGCUAUUACAAAUAAAGCUUUUGUGAAUAUUCAUGUACAGGUCUUUGUAUGGACGUAUACUUUUGUUUCUCUUAGGCAAAUACCUAGCAAAGCAGUGGAAUGGCUGAAUCAUAUAAUAGGUCUACAUUUAAUCUUUUAAGAAACUGCCCAACUUUUCCAAAGAGGUUGGACCAUUUUAUAUUCUCAUGAGCAUUGUAUGAGAGUUCCAA
rnacentral:lncRNA from 1 species